UGUGAACGUUACCAAACUGUUGCCUCGGCGGGAUCUCUGCCCCGGGUGCGUCGCAGCCCCGGACCAAGGCGCCCGCCGGAGGACCAACCUAAAACUCUUAUUGUAUACCCCCUCGCGGGUUUUUUUUUAUAAUCUGAGCCUUCUCGGCGCCUCUCGUAGGCGUUUCAAAAAUGAAUCAAAACUUUCAACAACGGAUCUCUUGGUUCUGGCAUCGAUGAAGAACGCAACGAAAUGCAAUAAAUAAUGUGAAUUGCAUAAUUCAAUGAAUCAUCCAAUCUUUGAACGCACAUUGCGCCCGCCAUUAUUCUGGCGGGCAUGCCUGUCCGAGCGUCAUUUCCACCCUCCAACCCCUCCGGGGGGUCGGCGUUGGGGAUCGGCCCCCCCUCUGCGGGUGGUCGUCUCCCAAAUACAGUGGCGGCCCCGCCGCACCCUCUCCUGCGCAUUAGUUUGCGCACCGGCAUCGGGACCCCGCCGCGUCCACAGCCGUUAAACACCCAACUUAUGAAAUGUUGACCUCGAAUAAAGUAGGAAUACCCGCAGAUCUUUAACUUAUCGAUAGGAGGACAAAAAGAAACCAACCAGGAUUGCCCAACUAACGGGCAGCGACGCGGCAACUGCAUCUUUUUGAAUUCUGGUCCCGAGGGCAAUAUUUAUAGUUUGCAUAGGAUGUAUUUGCUGACGAGCCCCCUGAAUCGGAGGCACCGGAAGCAGAGAGGGAGAAAGCCUGGCUGGAUGGCAGCGAGCUUUGUUAGCUCCUCAACGAUCGAGUAUGUGGCAUGCGAGCAGAUGCGACUAUACGUCUAUUAACCUAGAUAGAGACAAACCAUACGACGAUUAACAGAACACAAAAGACAGGACCUUAAAUAGGAUUAAUGUAUUGAAAAAUGAACGGAGAGCUGUGACAGGCUGCGAUGUCGAUGUCCGGGUCUCUCUGGCCCUCGCUCUCUAGCUCUACGGUGAAAAGGGUAAAAGGUGACGACAGGAGUUAAGCCGUCAAAACCUGGAGGACUGAGAUGCUUUGGCGGUUGUAGCAGCCUGCAUCGCGCCGCACGCUCGCAGCCCGCGCCCCAAAAAAAAAAUCGGGCUAUCACCUCUCCGGC
rnacentral:sRNA from 1 species